rnacentral:rRNA from 1 species
UGGGGAAUAUUGCACAAUGGGCGAAAGCCUGAUGCAGCAACGCCGCGUGAGUGAUGAAGGCCUUCGGGUUGUAAAGCUCUGUCUUCUGGGACGAUAAUGACGGUACCAGAGGAGGAAGCCACGGCUAACUACGUGCCAGCAGCCGCGGUAAUACGUAGGUGGCAAGCGUUGUCCGGAUUUACUGGGCGUAAAGGAUGCGUAGGCGGAUACUUAAGUCAGAUGUGAAAAUCCCAGGCUUAACUUGGGAACUGCAUUUGAAACUGGGUAUCUAGAGUGCGGGAGAGGAAAGUGGAAUUCCUAGUGUAGCGGUGAAAUGCGUAGAGAUUAGGAAGAACACCAGUGGCGAAGGCGACUUUCUGGACCGUAACUGACGCUGAGGCAUGAAAGCGUGGGGAGCAAACA